rnacentral:rRNA from 1 species
GUAGGUGGCAAGCGUUGUCCGGAAUUAUUGGGCGUAAAGCGCGCGCAGGCGGUUCUUUAAGUCUGAUGUGAAAGCCCACGGGCUCAACCGUGGAGGGUCAUUGGAAACUGGAGAACUUGAGUACAGAAGAGGAAAGCGGAAUUCCACGUGUAGCGGUGAAAUGCGUAGAGAUGUGGAGGAACACCAGUGGCGGAGGCGGCUUUCUGGUCUGUAACUGACGCUGAGGCGCGAAAGCGUGGGGAGCAAACAGGAUUAGAUACCCUGGUAGUCCACGCCGUAAACGAUGAGUGCUAAGUGUUAGGGGGUUUCCGCCCCUUAGUGCUGCAGCUAACGCAUUAAGCACUCCGCCUGGGGAGUACGGCCGCAAGGCUG